rnacentral:rRNA from 1 species
UACGUAGGGUGCAAGCGUUGUCCGGAAUUAUUGGGCGUAAAGAGCUCGUAGGCGGUUUGUUGCGUCGGCUGUGAAAUCCCCGGGCUCAACCUGGGAAUUGCAUUCGAUACUGGAUAGCUAGAGUUCGGCAGAGGGAAGCGGAAUUUCGGGUGUAGCGGUGAAAUGCGUAGAUAUCCGAAGGAACAUCAGUGGCGAAGGCGGCUUCCUGGACCAGAACUGACGAUCAGGCACGAAAGCGUGGGGAGCAAACAGG